rnacentral:lncRNA from 1 species
UGUCCUCAGGUUGCGAAGGACACUCACGUAAAACCUACGUGAACUUAUACUCACUACUGCCUCGGUUGUGUCAGGCACUUACGUAAAACCUACGUAAACCCCCGCGUACCCCUAUCCUCGGUUGUGAAGGAUACUUACGUAAAACCUACGUAAACUUGUACGUAUUACUGUUCUCGGGAUAUGUAGAACACUUAUGGUCGUUAGAUACAUGGAGCUUGCACAUAGAGGAGCUGGUCGUUGUGGGCUUGGAUCGUGAUUGUCUUGUUAAACACUUAUGACAUUUCAUACUUUAUUAUGAUGGGUUUUAUUUAUACGCUUCCGCUAAACAGUGAUAACUUACUUAUGUUUUGGAACACCUUUCAUAUGGAUUUGGUUUGGUUUAAUGGCAAUUACUUUUACUAUAUAUAUUGU